rnacentral:rRNA from 1 species
UGUUGUCUUGAAGGGCGUAUGGUGGAUGCCUUGGCAGGCAGGACCGAUGAAGGACGCGACGGGCCGCGAUAGGCCUCGGGGAGCCGCCGAGUGGGCUUUGAUCCGAGGGUUUCCGAAUGGGGCAACCCACCGGCAGUAAUGGGCCGGUACCGCGCUUCGGCGCGGGGGGUACGCAGGGAAGUGAAACAUCUCAGUACCUGCAGGAGAGGAUACUCCGUGAGUAGUGGCGAGCGAAAGCGGAUCAGGCUAAACCUCAUGCGUGUGAUACCCGUCGGGGGUUGCGUGUGGGGUGUUGUUGGGAUCGUGUGCGCCGGCUCCGACGGGCCGGCCGGUGGUGAUAAAGGCGUGUGCGAGGGGAACCGGGUUGAAUACCGGGCCGUAGAGGGUGAGGGCCCCGUACCCGUAGGCGCAUGUCCCGCCGAUCAUGUCUCCCGAGUAGCGCGGGUCCCGUGGAACCCCGUGUGAAUCCGCCCCGACCGUGGGGCAGGCCUAAGUAUUCCUGUCUGACCGAUAGUGAACUAGUACCGUGAGGGAAAGGUGAAAAGCACCCCGGGAGGGGAGUGAAACAGUCCCUGAAACCGUGCGCCUACGAACCGUCGGAGCCUCCUUGGUGGGGUGACGGCGUGCCUAUCGAAAAAUGAGUCUGCGAGUCAGUGGUGCGUGGCGAGUAUAAGCCGUGUGGCGUAUGCGUAGCGAAGGCGAGUCUUAAAAGGCGUUUGAGCCGCGUGUCCUGGACCCGAAGCGGGAUGAUCUAGCCCUGAGCAGGUUGAAGCGCGGGUAAGACCGUGUGGAGGACCGGACCCACCUGGGUUGAAAACCGGGGGGAUGACUUGGGGCUGGGGGUGAAAGGCCAAUCAAAUUCCGUGAUAGCUGGUUCUCUCCGAAAUGCAUUUAGGUGCAGCGUCGGGUGAUUGCAUCCGGGGGGUAGAGCUACUGGAUGCUUGCGGGCCCUUGUGGGGUACCAACAGCAACCAAACUCCGAAUACCCGUGAUGUGUAUCCCGGCAGUGACCCGGCGGGGGAUAAGCUUCGUCGUGGAGAGGGAGACAGCCCAGACCGUCGUCUAAGGUCCCGAAGCGCGUGCUAAGUGGGAAAGGAUGUGGAGUCGCAUAGACAGCCAGGAGGUUGGCUCAGAAGCAGCCAUCCUUGAAAGAGUGCGUAACAGCUCACUGGUCUAGUGGUUCCGCGCCGACAAUGUAGCGGGGCUCAAGCACGCCACCGAAGACGCGGCAGUACUUUGGUACUGGGUAGGAGAGCGUCCCACGGGGGGCGAAGCGGCGGCGCAAGCCGGCCGUGGAUUCCGUGGGAGUGAGAAUGCAGACAUGAGUAGCGAGAGACGGGUGAGGAUCCCGUCCGCUGGAUGACCAAGGGUUCCAGGGCCACGUUCAUCGUCCCUGGGUGAGUCGGGUCCUAAGGCGAGGCCGACAGGCGUAGUCGAAUGGAUGAACGGGUCGAUAUUCCCGUACCGGCUGGCGACCGAUCAAACCGGAACCGUGAGCACUAACCUCCAUUAUUCUCGUGAUGUUCCCUUCGGGGUUCGGAUCGGGGUGGUGUUGGGACCGUAGCGGGAGUAGGUCAGCGCAGGAGUGACACGGAAGGGUGGCCGGCUCCGGAGGUGGUUUUCCGGGGCCAAGCACGCGGCCCGUCCCCCAGGCAAAUCCGGGGGGCGUGAGGGUGAGGUGCGAUGGGACGCGCGUAUGCGUGGAUCCGGUGAUCCCGGCCGUCGAGAAAAGCUUCGGCGUGAGGGCGUCAGUCCGCCCGUACCCCAAACCGACACUGGUGGUCAGGUAGAGAAUACCAAGGCGAUCGAGCGAAUCCUGGUCAAGGAACUCGGCAAAUCACUCCCGUUCCUUCGGUUUAAGGGAGACCCCCGAUGGUGAACCAACUCGCUUGGGGAGCUUUUGGGGGUGGCACAGACCAGGGGGUAGCGACUGUUUACCAAAAACACAGGUGCAUGCGAAGACGCAAGUCGCUGUAUAUGCACUGACGCCUGCCCGGUGCCGGAAGGUUAAGAGGAUCCGUCAUGCUUUUGCGGAAGCGGUGAAUUCAAGCCCCGGUAAACGGCGGUGGUAACUAUAACCAUCCUAAGGUAGCGAAAUUCCUUGUCGGGUAAGUUCCGACCUGCACGAAUGGCGUAACGACUUCCCCACUGUCUCGACCAGGAGCUCGGCGAAAUUGCAGUACGAGUAAAGAUGCUCGUUAAGCGCAGAAGGACGAAAAGACCCCGGGACCUUUACUAUACCUUGGUAUUGGCAUUCGGUGUGGAUUGUGUAGCAUAGGCGGGAGACGUUGAUGCGUGGUCGCCAGAUCGCGUGGAGUCGCAAGGUGAAAUACCGCUCUGUUCGCAUUGGAUGUCUAACCACGACCAGUCAUCCUGGUCUGGGACAGUGCCUGGCGGGUAGUUUAACUGGGGCGGUUGCCUCCCAAAGAGUAACGGAGGCGCCCAAAGGUUCCCUCAGCCCGGUUGGCAAUCGGGUGUCGAGUGCAAGUGCACAAGGGAGCUUGACUGCGAGAGCGACGGCUCGAGCAGGGACGAAAGUCGGGACUAGUGAUCCGGUGCCGGUGUACGGACGCGGCAUCGCUCAACGGAUAAAAGGUACCCCGGGGAUAACAGGCUGAUCAUUCCCAAGAGUCCAUAUCGACGGGAUGGUUUGGCACCUCGAUGUCGGCUCGUCGCAUCCUGGGGCUGGAGCAGGUCCCAAGGGUUCGGCUGUUCGCCGAUUAAAGCGGCACGCGAGCUGGGUUCAGAACGUCGUGAGACAGUUUGGUCUCUAUCCUCUGCGCUCGUUGGAAUGCUGAGGAGGCCUGCCCAUAGUACGAGAGGACCUGGGUGGACGAACCUCUGGUAUGCCGGUUGUCACGCCAGUGGCACGGCCGGUUGGCUACGUUCGGGAGGGAUAACCGCUGAAAGCAUCUAAGCGGGAAGCCUGCUCCGAGAUAAGCAUUCCGUGGAUCCCUCGAGAUCCUGUACCCCCCAUGGAGAACACGUGGUGGAUAGGCCGGACGUGGAAGCCCCGCAAGGGGUGGAGCUGACCGGUACUAACGGGGGAACGGCAACACACA